CUCACAUCCUCAAUUGCAAUGGCAGUAGUCAUCUACCAACAAAAGCAUAAAACAGAAUCAGAAAAUACGACGAGUAAUACAAUCCAAAUAUACAAAUCCAGAAAACAAAGUAUAGAAAGGUAAAACUAGUAAAUCUAGAGACAAACUAAAUCAUUUCACCAAUUCAUAGUCAGACCGUGGACAACAUUAUCAGGACUAAAUUUCAACCUACUCAUCCAC